UACGGAGGGGACUAGCGUUGUUCGGAAUCACUGGGCGUAAAGCGCACGUAGGCGGAUUGCUAAGUCAGGGGUGAAAUCCCGGGGCUCAACCCCGGAACUGCCUUUGAUACUGGUAGUCUCGAGUCCGGAAGAGGUGAGUGGAAUUCCGAGUGUAGAGGUGAAAUUCGUAGAUAUUCGGAGGAACACCAGUGGCGAAGGCGGCUCACUGGUCCGGUACUGACGCUGAGGUGCGAAAGCGUGGGGAGCAAACAGGG
rnacentral:rRNA from 1 species